rnacentral:rRNA from 1 species
AUUGAACGCUGGCGGCAGGCCUAACACAUGCACGUCGAGCGAGCGGCGGACGGGUGAGUAAUGUAUGGGGACUGCCCGAUAGAGGGGGAUAACUACUGGAAACGGUAGCUAAUACCGCAUACUAUCGGAUAACCCAUAUGGGAUUAGCUAGUAGGUGAGGUAAUGGCUCACCUAGGCGAACAUCCCUAGCUGGUCUGAGAGGAUGGUCAGCCACACUGGGACGGAGAAACGGCCCAGACUCCUACGGGGGCAGCAGUGGGGAAUAUUUCACAAUGGGCGCAAGCCUGAUGCAGCCAUGCCGCGUGUAUGAAGAAGGCCCUAGGGUUGUAAAGUACUUUCAGUCGGGAGGCGUUACCGACAGAAGAAGCACCGGCUAACUCCGUGCCAGCCGCCGCGGUAAUUC